CUGAGGACUUGAGCGUGCACUGAAAGGAUUCUUCGAGGAGCUCCUCUGGGUGCCCGAAACUGGGGAGCUCAAAGCAAGGUCCCUGGAAUGGAUUCAGGCAUUCCUGAGAUUAUCAGAGGUGUACCUGUCCAUCCUGGCCCUGGAGCUCUAGAAUGGACUGUAAUUGGGUUAUAAAAGUGGUGCUCCAACUGCAAAAGAAGUGUGGGAUUGGGAUUAAGGAAUGAGCAGUGAUGGUACCAUUGGCUGUUUUCUCUCGACAGGAAUUGUGAGAGCUGCAGGAGUGCAAGGUGUGGGUUCCAGUCCCCACCAUUUGGUUUGCACAUGUCCUGGUCAGACACAGGUCCAGUUUCCUCAGUCCUUAACUCAGCAGGGGGAGAAUUAAGGGAUGGCCCUGUGAAGGUGAUUGGUGUGACAGGGAUUUUAACUGGGAAAACCUUGGGUAAUUCCUCAGUUUCUCUCUUUGCCAAACUUGCCCAAACCUCUGCUAGGAAGAGACUGAUUGGAAAAGUUGAGGCAGAAAUUAAAUUGGAAAAUAUUGAAAUUGUAAUUCCUGAAACUAAAUGUGUGAGAGCAGCAGCUCUUCUUGUGCACGAA